CCGGCGAGCUCAAGAGGACUCCCUGUCUGUUGGGUCUUGUUCGGCUGUCGCGCAGUGUGACGUUAGUGCUGGACAAAUCAUGUCAAAGCAAUGUCGCAAAAGUGGGAAGCGUCCACAUGAUGUAAUCCCACGUUCAUCAGGCAACAGGCCACAGACGGCGAGACACAACGGAACAGGCGCCAGGAACCGUCACAGGAGCUGCGCAUCUCGUCAACACUCGUCUUUGGACCGAAUCAAAGAAAUAGACAGGCGAAGGCGACAUUGUUGUGCACAGUUAAGAUGGAGGUUCUUCUGGGAGACCGCAGCUGCGAGGGCACACGCACGCGCACGCAGGUGACUUUGAAGUUGCAAGCCAGAGUUCUCGGAGACCAAGUGCUGUCCUGCGGCCGGAAGUCGAAUUCACCAGGAGAGCGAGGAGGAGCAGGCAGCCUCCGGUGCCAGUCCAGACUCGGGUGCAAAGAGUUCCAGAGAGGAAUUCAGGGGAAUACUGAGUCCCAGCAUCAGCUGCAAGACAGAAGCAGCAACGCGUGUCAGAUCCAGGAAGCAUCCCGACAACAUGACCGGACCACCUCCACCGGCUGCCGUCACUGAGGAGGGGCAGAGCUUCUGACUCAUCUCUGACAGAAAGUCCAGCCACUGUGCAGAGAACUUUGUCUCUGAGGACACUGCCCUGAUCCAGAGCUGCAAGUUAAGACCAUUUUCAUAGUCAAUAGUGGGGUGGACAAAUUCUCCAUGUCUGACUGUAGUUUUAUAAACAAUUUAAAAAGUAAGACAAUGUAUGGUGUUUUGAAAAGUCCUAUUUUAAUUGCUCAAGCUGUUGGUGUGAACAUGUGACCUUGAUGUGUCCUUCGUGAAAAGCUGCCCAACUUCUGCUGUAGCCUCAGCUUAAUGUGGACUGUACCAAGC